rnacentral:rRNA from 1 species
GAUUUCUGGCUAAUUCGGAUGGCCCGGCUCCUUUCGGGGCUGCGUGCUGUCUCUGAGUUUGCCAUCCUUUCAGAGAGCAGCGCCUACCGCUUCUGCGGCCGGGCGCUGUGAUCUGAAUCUUUUACUUUGAAAAAAUUAGAGUGUUCCAAGCAGGCUUACGCUUUGAAUACAUUAGCAUGGAAUAAUAAUAUAGGACUUUGGACCUAUUUUGUUGGUUUCUAGGACUGAAGUAAUGAUUGAUAGGGAUAGUUGGGGGUGCUAGUAUUCAGCGGCCAGAGGUGAAAUUCUUGGAUUCGCUGAAGACUAACUACUGCGAAAGCAUU